AACGAACGCUGGCGGCAGGCCUAACACAUGCAAGUCGAACGCUCCGCAAGGGGAGUGGCGCACGGGUGAGUAACACGUGGGAACCUACCUUCUGGUACGGAACAACCAAGGGAAACUUUGGCUAAGACCGUAUACGACCUCCGGGUGAAAGAUUGAUCGCCGGAAGAGGGGCCCGCGUCCGAUUAGGUAGUUGGUGAGGUAACGGCUCACCAAGCCUUCGAUCGGUAGCUGGGUCUGAGAGGAUGACCAGCCACACUGGGACUGAGACACGGCCCCAGACUCCUACGGGAGGCAGCAGUGGGGAAUAUUGGACAAUGGGCGCAAGCCUGAUCCAGCCAUGCCGCGUGAGUGAUG
rnacentral:rRNA from 1 species